UCUUGCUAAACUUGAAAUGUUAUUAAACAUAGAUUAAUCAUAAUAACUUUUGAUGAAACUGAAAUUGCAUUGUUUUAUAACUUGUUUGCCUUUUCAGGUAUGACAUCUUGGUGUCUGUAGAAUCUGUCCCCCAAAUGGUAGUAUGAGAAAAAAAUUGUAAAUACUCUGAUGGGUCAACAUUGAGCAACAUAUUUCUGUAGACUACUUACUAUAAAUAUUUCAAAAUUGUUAAAUUCUAAACAUGUUAGAUUUAUUGUUUCUGUCCUUGUGCAAGUUAUUGUAGACAUUUGUUAAAGAACCACUUCAACCUUAUAUGCUAUGUUUAUUCACAAUGUCGUUGUGGCUGAAGUCAUCUUACUCCCUUCUCAUUUCACAUAUAGGUCCGGGAACAUGCUAGGAAACUU
rnacentral:misc_RNA from 1 species